rnacentral:rRNA from 1 species
GACGAACGCUGGCGGCGUGCUUAACACAUGCAAGUCGAACGGAAAGGCCCUGCUUGCGGGGUGCUCGAGUGGCGAACGGGUGAGUAACACGUGGGUGAUCUGCCCCUUAUUUUGGGAUAAGCCUUGGAAACUGGGUCUAAUACUGGAUAGGACCAUGCUGUAUGUGGUGUGGUGGAAAGAUUAGUUUCGGUAAGGGAUGAGCUCGCGGCCUAUCAGCUUGUUGGUGGGGUAAUGGCCUACCAAGGCGUCGACGGGUAGCCGGCCUGAGAGGGUGGACGGCCACAUUGGGACUGGGAUACGGCCCAGACUCCUACGGGAGGCAGCAGUGGGGAAUAUUGCACAAUGGGCGCAAGCCUGAUGCAGCGACGCCGCGUGGGGGAUGACGGCCUUCGGGUUGUAAACUCCUUUCAGCCAUGACGAAGCCGUUGUGGUGACGGUAGUGGUAGAAGAAGCACCGGCUAACUACGUG